rnacentral:rRNA from 1 species
AUACGUAGGGUGCAAGCGUUAAUCGGAAUUACUGGGCGUAAAGCGUGCGCAGGCGGUUUUGUAAGACAGAGGUGAAAUCCCCGGGCUCAACCUGGGAACUGCCUUUGUGACUGCAAGGCUAGAGUACGGCAGAGGGGGAUGGGAUUCCGCGUGUAGCAGUGAAAUGCGUAGAUAUGCGGAGGAACACCGGUGGCGAAGGCAGUCCCCUGGGCCUGCACUGACGCUCAUGCACGAAAGCGUGGGGAGCAGACAGGAUUAGAUGCCCUGGUAGUCCACGCCCUAAACGAUGUCAACUGGUUGUUGGGGAUUUAUUUUCUCAGUAACGAAGCUAACGCGUGAAGUUGACCGCCUGGGGAGUACGGCCGCAAGGUUAAAACUCAAAGGAAUUGGCGGGG